rnacentral:rRNA from 1 species
UAGGGAAUCUUCGGCAAUGGACGAAAGUCUGACCGAGCAACGCCGCGUGAGUGAAGAAGGUUUUCGGAUCGUAAAACUCUGUUGUUAGAGAAGAACAAGGACGUUAGUAACUGAACGUCCCCUGACGGUAUCUAACCAGAGAGCCACGGCUAACUACGUGCCAGCAGCCGCGGUAAUACGUAGGUGGCAAGCGUUGUCCGGAUGUAUUGGGCGUAAAGCGAGCGCAGGCGGUUUCUUAAGUCUGAUGUGAAAGCCCCCGGCUCAACCGGGGAGGGUCAUUGGAGACUGGGAGACUUGAGUGCAGAAAAGGAGAGUGGAAUUCCAUGUGUAGCGGUGAAAUGCGUAGAUAUAUGGAGGAACACCAGUGGCGGAGGCGGCUCUCUGGUCUGUAACUGACGCUGAGGCUCGAAAGCGUGGGGAGCAAACAAG